GUCACGCGCUGCGUCCAGAGGUUCGCCGAGACAUGUAGGCAUUCAACGUUGUGCUUAAUGCUUCUCAGAACAGUACGUUGAAGACGGAGAUCAGGGCUUGGGCCUCGUCGUUGGUCCAACACGCCAGCAGGAACCUCCGAUGUGGGGUAAAUUGGGUGGGUGAGGACAUUGGUCAUCGUUGAUCCAGAGAGAGAGAGAGAGAGAGAGUGUGUGUCUAUACCAGAUGCAUAACGAGCAGAAAACACCAGGAAUACACGGCCGUCAGGCUAACCUGAGAUGGGCCUGGACCCACCAAGAAGCACCCUGGACUCGGGGGGACUCGGCGUGCCGGGCCUGACCCGUUUUGCUGACAAAAAAAGUAGGGGCCGGCCCGAACGGAUCGGGCUUUGACAUGCCGGUCCGGGUUUGCGGGUUUUCGGGCUUAAACGCCCUACCUACUACGUGGUCUCGG
rnacentral:lncRNA from 1 species